CCUGAUCUUUAUAUUUAUUUAAGCAGAUGGAAAGAAGUAGGUUUCAGUGGAGAGCAAGAAGUAGACAAGAGAGAGUUGUGAUUCUUUAAAAGUGAGGUAAGCGAUACGUUUCUCUCUGUGUUGGAUUCAAUGAUCAAGUAUAGCUCUGUUUUGAUUAUUCCUAGUCAUACUUAAUCAAUAUUAAGACCGUGUAUAAGCAGAAUAAAACAUAACUCGGCCAGUGAGAGCGAAAGCAUUAUUCAUGAUUUAUCAUGUUGGCCACAAACGUUCAAAGCCUCUAGUAUGGAUUGAACGGGUAUUGAAGUUGUGGUACUGUGCUGUGGGAUUUAAUUUGGAGCCAUAUCACCUGUCCUAAAAUUCAAAGCUUUGUGUUGAAUAAAGUCAGGAAAGUUCACUCUCUCUCUCCUGCUGAUCUGCACAAGAUUUUGGUCGUACCUGAAUAUUCCUUCAGCCUUGCAGUCGAACAUUUCCUGAACAGCAGCAGAUGGGAGGGAGGGGGGCGUGUUGUUCUGACAGCUGAGACAAGGGACCAGGCAUUUCUCUGACUCAAACUACAAACAUGGCUGCCACACUUUUGCUCUAAACCUUUUUAAAGGUCACAUGUUAUACAAAAUACACUUCACCAUGUUGUUCUAACACUAACAUGUGUCUCUAGUCUGUCUACAAACCCCCCAUGAGAAAUGAUGAGAAAAGUUCAUCCUCUCCGUCUUUUGCCUGCUCCACUUUUUCAGAAAAUGUGUGCUCAAACAGGCCGUUUAGAGAUUUUCCCUUCAUGACAUCACAAAGGGCAGUAACCCCUCCCCCAGGUGGGUGACACUCCCACAGCUAGGUGUUUGUUCUGCCCUCUGAGUCUGCCUUCUCACCGUAAACAAUAGGACAUGGAGCAAGAAAGCCAGAGACACCCAGGCCCUUCCAGAGAGGGGGCGUGGUCAAACACAGCUCAUUUACAUAUUUAAAGGUACAGACACAGAAACAGCCUGUUCUGAGCAGGGCUGAAAUAGAGGGGUUUAUAGGCAUGAUCAAAUACAGGAUCAGAGUGGAUUUAGAACAAGAAACUUCACACACGUUUUGAGGAGCUCUGAGACUUAUUUAAACUGGUUGAAGAGGAGGAGGAUAUGUGACCUUUAUUUUUUCUUUUCAGAAUAUUUUAAACCUAUUUUAAAGUCACGGUCACAUGUAUUCUGUUACCACAGACAGUAAGAGGGGGGUUUAAAAAGUGCCUUACACCCACAUGCUCAGCAGGGCGUGACUGAAAUGUUUUAAACCAGUAGGUGAUGUCCCGAUCGCUAUGACUAGUGUGUGUUAACAAACAGUUGAAUACAAGCUGCUGCUUGGAUCAUGGUGGCCUUUGAUUGAUCUGCCCAUGUUUAUAACAUGCAGAGUUACGUGUAUGUAAUCAGUUCACUUUGAUUUGCUACAAAGAGUAGGAGCACUGCUUGUAAGUACAUAUUGAUUCAAAAUGUUUAUUUUUGGGCCUUUUAUGCCUUUAUUUAUAAAUAGGACAGGCUACAGGUGCCCCGGAUACAUAUUCAUUUGAUAUGUAGUGAUCAUGAAGGCAGAGUUGAAUCAUUAUCAGUGUUGGGGUUGUAUUAAAAGUGUAAUACAAUCUGUAAUGCUGUUUGACAUGUUGUUUUCAUAUGUUGAUUAUAUGUUGUGAUAAAACGAGCAGUCGACGACAUUUCAUUUCACACAAGUGACUAAAUUGAAUUUGUUCUUGUUAUGCUUAGAUGACCAGAAGGAUGUGUUCUUGCUCAGACUUUGACAUGUUUGUUCUGUUGUGGACCAAAUAAAAUGUACACUGAGUACUGUUCUGUUUUAA